rnacentral:ribozyme from 1 species
GUCAAACCAGGGGGAAGAAUUAGGAGAGGAAUAUGUCCAAGAUGAAUCAAAUAACAAGGAUGAGGGUGAAUCUUUUCUUCGCCAUAAGAUGAAAUUAG